AUGAACGCUGGCGGCGUGCCUAAUACAUGCAAGUCGUGCGAACGGACGAGAAGCUUGCUUCUCUGAUGUUAGCGGCGGACGGGUGAGUAACACGUGGAUAACCUACCUAUAAGACUGGGAUAACUUCGGGAAACCGGAGCUAAUACCGGAUAAUAUUUUGAACCGCAUGGUUCAAAAGUGAAAGACGGUCUUGCUGUCACUUAUAGAUGGAUCCGCGCUGCAUUAGCUAGUUGGUAAGGUAACGGCUUACCAAGGCAACGAUGCAUAGCCGACCUGAGAGGGUGAUCUGCCACACUGGAACUGAGACGCGGUCCAGACUCCUACGGGAGGCAGCAGUAGGGAAUCUUCCGCAAUGGGCGAAAGCCUAACGGAGCAACGCCGCGUGAGUGAUGAAGGUCUUCGGAUCGUAAAACUCUGUUAUUAGGGAAGAACAUAUGUGUAAGUAACUGUGCACAUCUUGACGGUACCUAAUCAGAAAGCCACGGCUAACUACGUG
rnacentral:rRNA from 1 species